UAUCGGAGAGUUUGAUCCUGGCUCAGGACGAACGCUGGCGGCGUGCCUAAUACAUGCAAGUCGAGCGGACUGAUGGGAGCUUGCUCCCUGAAGUCAGCGGCGGACGGGUGAGUAACACGUGGGUAACCUGCCUGUAAGACUGGGAUAACUCCGGGAAACCGGGGCUAAUACCGGAUAGUUCUUUUCCUUGCAUGAGGAAAAGUGGAAAGGCGGCUUCGGCUGCCACUUACAGAUGGACCCGCGGCGCAUUAGCUAGUUGGUGAGGUAACGGCUCACCAAGGCAACGAUGCGUAGCCGACCUGAGAGGGUGAUCGGCCACACUGGGACUGAGACACGGCCCAGACUCCUACGGGAGGCAGCAGUAGGGAAUCUUCCGCAAUGGACGAAAGUCUGACGGAGCAACGCCGCGUGAGUGAUGAAGGUUUUCGGAUCGUAAAGCUCUGUUGUUAGGGAAGAACAAGUGCCGUU
rnacentral:rRNA from 1 species